GUGUGUGAAGAAGGCCUUAUGGUUGUAAAGCACUUUAAGCGAGGAGGAGGCUACUUUAGUUAAUACCUAGAGAUAGUGGACGUUACUCGCAGAAUAAGCACCGGCUAACUCUGUGCCAGCAGCCGCGGUAAUACAGAGGGUGCAAGCGUUAAUCGGAUUUACUGGGCGUAAAGCGCGCGUAGGCGGCUAAUUAAGUCAAAUGUGAAAUCCCCGAGCUUAACUUGGGAAUUGCAUUCGAUACUGGUUAGCUAGAGUGUGGGAGAGGAUGGUAGAAUUCCAGGUGUAGCGGUGAAAUGCGUAGAGAUCUGGAGGAAUACCGAUGGCGAAGGCAGCCAUCUGGCCUAACACUGACGCUGAGGUGCGAAAGCAUGGGGAGCAAACAGGAUUAGAUACCCUGGUAGUCCAUGCCGUAAACGAUGUCUACUAGCCGUUGGGGCCUUUGAGGCUUUAGUGGCGCAGCUAACGCGAUAAGUAGACCGCCUGGGGAGUACGGUCGCAAGACUAAAACUCAAAGGNNNUUGACGGGG
rnacentral:rRNA from 1 species